rnacentral:rRNA from 1 species
UACGGAGGGGUCUAGCGUUGUUCGGAAUUACUGGGCGUAAAUCGCGCGUAGGCGGCCCUGCAAGUCGGGGGUGAAAGCCCGAGGCUUAACCUCGGAACUGCCUUUGAUACUGCGGGUCUCGAGUCCGGGAGAGGUGAGUGGAAUUCCUUGUGUAGAGGUGAAAUUCGUAGAUAUUAGGAAGAACACCAGUGGCGAAGGCGGCGCACUGGACCGGUACUGACGCUGAGGCGCGAAAGUGUGGGGAGCAAACAGG